CUAUAAAGGGGGCUACUUGCCUCCUCCUCUCCCUCUUAUUUCUCUCUUGCUCUCUCUUGUUCCUCCUCUUCUCGUGCCCCUCUUUGUCCCUGUCCCUUCUUUUCCCAUCUCCCCCUUUCCUCCCACGUGCCCAUGGCCAGCCUUUCCUUCUUCUACUACUCUUCUUCUCUCACUAAACCUUUCCACGUGGAACCAUGUUGGCUUGGUGUACCUUGUCUGGGCGCUGGCUGAGAUUUUAAACACCAACAAUAUGCAGGCUCAGGUCAGCAGGUGUAGAAGUUGUGACUCCAAAAGGAGACACUCAAGAAUCUGAAACAUGUGAUAUCAUCAACAAAGACACCUUCAGCUCAGAGUUCCCAGAAAACACGCCUUGGAAUACGCAAGCCAUCGCAAGUUCGUAUGUUUGUGAUGAACAACUACUGGAAAGGUCCUCCCCUCAAAAAGUUUUGUAAAUCACACAUUCAGCAAGAUCCAACCAAUUUACAAGCUCAACACACACCUUCAACCAUCAGAAGGGCAACUCAGCAUCACCGUGUCACAGUGGACUCCGAGGGACCCUACACCUUAUGAAUGGGCAUUGUCCUCAAGAAGGUGAUGGAAAAUACCAGUGUACUUCAAGUAAUUUCAUACCCAGGAGGCUGCUCUGGCGAGAUGGUUUGGAGCAGUGGAUCCCAGCCUUCCCUAAGGCUGUGACCCUUUAAGGCCUCAUGUUGUGGUGAGCCCCAACCUUAUAAGAUUAUCCCCAUUGCUACUUGCAACAGUAAUUUUGCUGCUGUUAGGAGUGUAAAUGUAUCUGUGUUUUCUGUGGUCAUAGGUGAGCCCUGUAAAAGGAUCAUUCAACUCCCCAGGGUGAGAAUGGCCAAUUCAGAGCCUUUCAUCUUUAACCUCCAGCUCCUUAGAUUGUUCAUGUUUUAAGCCUGAUCAAAAGCAGCCUUUAUGUUUUCCUCCACAUCCCUGGUUAAAUUUUUCUGUUUAAGUCCAAGAGCAAAAAACUCUGCCAUACCUGGAGAGAUCCCCUCCUGGGGUGAUAAACACUUGACUUACGACUUUGUGGGCCAUCCAGAUGCUGAGACAUCAUGCGUCCCAUGGAUGUCGCAUGCACCCACGUCUUCUUCAGAAUGUUAAGCUUCAACCCGAACAACACAAUAAUAAAGACUGUCAGGAGUUCCUCAGUACAGUUAAGACACAUCUUUGGAAAGGAGAAAAAGAAGAACUGCACAGAGAUGUCACUGAUUAAGAAAGAAAAAAAGGUACAGGAAGAACCAGGCGGAGCGACAACAGAAACUGAAGAAGUCACAGGCUUCAGUGGUGGUUUGCACCACCAUAUAUCAUAUGUGAGUCAGGAGAAUGCAGGCAUCUCAUGCCCUAGGAAUUUCCCAUAUUUCUAGGAAAAUACAUCUUCUCCCUCUGCUGGGAACGUGGGGUUCAUCCAGUAGGAAGUGUAAAAGGAGCUCACUGUAAAGCAUAUGGUACAAAGCUACAGGUGGAGAUGAAGAGAUGGCUCAGUGGUCAGAGCGAGUUCAGUCUCCAGCACCUGCUUGGGGCUCACAACUGUCCACUACUCCAGCCCAGAAGAUCCAAUACCCUCCUCUGGCUCCAGCAGGUACUCAGUGCACUCAUAUGGUGCACAUAUAUGCGUUCAGACAUAACACAUAAAAUAAAUUUUAUUUAAAGAAAAAUGCCACAGGCAUGACUGUUGGUGGAUAGUGCCUGUUUGGGUCAUGAAAAGUGAAGUUUCUGUAGGCUUCAGGUUGAGAUCUAGUCUUCUUCUGUGCAAAGUUUCAGGACUGGUUCUUGCUCGGAGUAUUGGAGCUCUCAGGAUGCUUGUGACUUCAGUGACAAUGCCAAUGGAAACUCUAGAGAUGGGCCACGCCCCAGCUAGGGAGAAGGAUCCGCUAAGGAGAAUCUCAAACUGCAAGCAGGGCUGAACCGCACCCCAUACUCUCAUCCCAGGAGUUAGAGGACAUUGAGCUAAGUUCAGGACUAGGAAUUCGUGGUGGGAAUGGGGAGGUAGCAAUCCACAGUGCGGUGAAACACUGAGUCUGCUCCAGAUCUGACUGAUGAUGAUGGAUCCUAUCUAGGUGCUGCUUAAAUGCUUUUCUUUGUUCCACAGUCGAGUCUGGAAACUGUACAGAUGACCAAGGGUCCAGGCAGACAGAGGAUCAAGUCCAGUACCCUGCUGUCUCCCUUAGAGAGGACCCCCUAAAGCCCCGUGGGCUCAGGAAGGGCACACAGGCCCAGGAGAUGAAUCAGUAGGUAAAGUGCUUGUUGCACAAGCAUUUGCCUCUGACUGCAGAUCUCCAGCACCUACAUAGAGGACUGGGACGGCACAGCGUACAACUGGAUCCCAGCCCAGGGCGGGGAUGAGGAGCAAUAGGGUGGUCUGAACAUUUGCCAUCCCGCAGGAUUUGUCUAUCCCCGAGCUCCACGUCCAGCAAGAGACUCUGUCUCAAAUAAAUAAAAUGUGAAGUCUUUGUCUUGCUCACACACAAAACAGGCACACACACACACACACACACACACACACACACACAGGUGCACACACAUGCAUACGCCACACAAGAAAAAAAGAAAGCAGAGAUUAGGCAGGAGGGCUUUUCACACCUGCACUUGCAGCACUUGGAAGGUAGGACCUGGGGCUGAGGGAUGUAGGGUCACCCUCAGCCCCACACAUGGUCUGAGUUCAUCGUAGGCUAUGUAAGACCCUGUCUUGAAAACAUCCCACAAAAACAAACAGAAAGCCACUGCUGGUUAGAAAACCAAGAACCCAUGGCCACGAAUGAUAGCACACGAGACUGAAAAGUAAGUGUAAUAACAGUAAAAAGAAAUUGUGGAAAAAUAGAAAAAGCAACUAUUAUAUAAAUCUUAAAGGAGGGAAGCUGGAGGUGGGGGAAGAAGGUAAACAAGAAAGAAAAAUUUUCAGAACAGCUUUGAGUAAUAGAACAAUAGAGCAACUGCUUAAGUCUGACAAAAUGAACCAAACGGUUAACAUAGCAAACACAGUACAGCAUAGGGGGCUGGCUAGUGUUUGCCUAGCUCUGGCCUCGGUACACACCCACACACAUACAAAGAUGCUCAGACAAACUCACGUAUGCACCCACACAAGCGUGUAUAUACACCACAUUCCGAAAAGUAAAAGAGAAAGUAGAAAUCUCAAUAAAAGCUUAUGUUGACUCCGUGUUGGAAUAUUAAAUGGAUUUAAAUUGGAUAAACUAAUUUGACAUACUUCCAGAGAUUAUUUUUAUGUGACUCCAUGAAGUUUUUGAUUGCAUACAGAGCUCGAAUAUUUCAGUUAGACAAUGAUCUAUGUAGCUCCUUAAGGAAAGCUGAAGCACC
ensembl:lncRNA